AAGUCGUAACAAGGUUUCCGUAGGUGAACCUGCGGAAGGAUCAUUAUCAGUUACGGGGGCGCUCUGCAGAAAUGUAUGAUGCCCUGUCUGAACCCUUGUCUUUUGAGUACUGUUUGUUUCCUUGGUGGGCUUUUUGCCUGCCGAUAGGACCAUAUUAAACCUUUGUAAUUGCAAUCAGCGUCAGUAAAACUUAAUUGUUACAACUUUCAACAACGGAUCUCUUGGUUCUG
rnacentral:misc_RNA from 1 species